rnacentral:rRNA from 1 species
GUAGAGUUUGAUCCUGGCUCAGAUUGAACGCUGGCGGCAUGCCUAACACAUGCAAGUCGAACGGUAACAGGUCUUCGGAUGCUGACGAGUGGCGGACGGGUGAGUAAUGCGUAGGAAUCUGUCUUUUAGUGGGGGACAACCCAGGGAAACUUGGGCUAAUACCGCAUGAGCCCUGAGGGGGAAAGCGGGGGAUCUUCGGACCUCGCGCUAAGAGAGGAGCCUACGUCCGAUUAGCUAGUUGGCGGGGUAAAGGCCCACCAAGGCGACGAUCGGUAGCUGGUCUGAGAGGACGACCAGCCACACUGGGACUGAGACACGGCCCAGACUCCUACGGGAGGCAGCAGUGGGGAAUUUUUCGCAAUGGGGGCAACCCUGACGAAGCAAUGCCGCGUGGAUGAAGAAGGCCUUCGGGUUGUAAAGUCCUUUCGUGGAGGACGAAAAGGCGGGUUCUAAUACAAUCUGCUAUUGACGUAAUCCAGAGAGCCC